rnacentral:rRNA from 1 species
GGUUAAGUGACUAAGCGUACAUGGUGGAUGCCUUGGCAGUCAGAGGCGAUGAAGGACGUACUAACCUGCGAUAAGCCGUGAGCAGUCGGUAAGAGACAUUACGACUCACGGAUUUCCGAAUGGGGAAACCCACUUAGCAUAAGCUAGGUAUCGCUACGUGAAUACAUAGCGUAGCGAGGCGAACCGGGAGAACUGAAACAUCUAAGUACCCCGAGGAAAAGAAAUCAACCGAGAUUCCCUCAGUAGCGGCGAGCGAACGGGGAUUAGCCCUUAAGCAUCUUGGAAG